rnacentral:piRNA from 1 species
UAUUGGUGAAAGUGUUGCAGAAAUCAAG